UGUGAAACAUAGAAAGUAUGAUAAAAACCCUAAAAUUAAAUUCAAAUUUGAGGUUGAAAAUUUAAAUUUUGGCUUAUAAGCAUAAACGGAAACUUUUACCAAUUUCUUUCACUUUAGACUACCAUGCCACCGUGGGAUAUACUAGCCAUGUUCUCCAAGAACAUAUUUCCUCUAACAUAAAGAUAGAUGGAUAUGGUCACUGACAUAUUAGCACUACCGUUUAUAGGUCCAUAUGUCUUUUCAUUAGAGGAUCUCAUUCCCGUUCUCCAACCCCGGCAUAUAGUCAUAGCUGCUGCUGUCUCACUCUAACAAAGUUCUGUUUGUUGCUUGCAUCGGUGAUGAACUGGUGGCUGCCUGGCUGGAGACCAACUUACAAAUUGCUUUCUUCAUGUGCGUAACUAGCUAGAGCCUAGAGGCCUCGAGGGCUCGAGGCAUUCGCCCGCUGCUCGCAGCUCGCUGGUCGGCCACGGUGGCAAUGGUUUCAAUGAGGCUGGACAAGUGGUCACAUCAGUCGCCGGAGCAGUGUUCCCCUGUCGUAAUUAAGCAGCAGCAAAAACACGGCAGCGAGAGCCGUGACAGCCACAUCGGAGACGAAGAAGAUGACAACAAGAAGGGGUCCAAUGUGAAUCAAAAUGAUCGAUCUACAAUGGAGCGACGAGUCCAAUUUUUGUGGACAGAUCACGUCCCGGCCCCGUGCAGUUUAUAUCAAUCCAACCCUCCCUUGCUCCCAGCCCAUCAUGUGUUGUGUCAUCCAUUAGUUAAAUUAAGCCUUUUUAUCAUCAUUAAAAAGUAUCUUGAUGUACCGAAAAAUUUUAAUGCUACCUCAAGGUUCAAAAUUGUUACGCUAGAAAAUAUGAUACUUUGAUGUGCUUUUUAAGGAUAGUAAAAAAAGCUCUUAAAUUAA